UACGGAGGAUCCGAGCGUUAUCCGGAUUUAUUGGGUUUAAAGGGUGCGUAGGCGGCCUGUUAAGUCAGGGGUGAGAGACGGUAGCUCAACUAUCGCAGUGCCCUUGAAACUGAUGGGCUUGAAUGUACUAGAGGCAGGCGGAAUGUGACAAGUAGCGGUGAAAUGCAUAGAUAUGUCACAGAACACCAAUUGCGAAGGCAGCUUGCUAUGGUAUAAUUGACGCUGAGGCACGAAAGCGUGGGGAUCAAACAGG
rnacentral:rRNA from 1 species